GACGAACCGAGCGACCGUUAUUCGGAAUCACUGGGCUUAAAGGGCGCGUAGGCGGGUCAGCAAGUCAGGGGUGAAAUCCCACGGCUCAACCGUGGAAGUGCCUUUGAUACUGUUGAUCUCGAGGGAGGUAGGGGCGUGCGGAACUUCCGGUGGAGCGGUGAAAUGCGUAGAUAUCGGAAGGAACAUCAGUGGCGAAAGCGACUUCCUGGACCAGUACCGACGUUCAGGCACGAAAGCGUGGGGAGCAAACAGG
rnacentral:rRNA from 1 species